CAAAGACGAUGCUUACCUUAGCAACGUCUUUGAAAGUAGGCAUUCUAAGACGUUGUUGAGGUAAGCACCGUCUUUGAAUGCCUACUUUCAAAGACGUUGCUGAGGUAAGCACCGUCUUU
rfam:Glycine soja cultivar W05 scaffold590_38, whole genome shotgun sequence.